rnacentral:rRNA from 1 species
UCAGUGCGGUGGCAUCGGUAGGUGUCGUUGGCUCUUCAUGGGCAUGUGCACACUUGUCUUGACUUUAUUCAUCCACCUGUGCACCUUUUGUAGUCUUGUGGGUUGAGAGCAGUCGACUAUCGGAUGGCUAUGGCCUUUCCGGACGUGAGGAAUGCUGAGUGCGAAAGCAUACAGCUCUUCUCAAAUGACUUGCAAAACCUCUUCCUCAAGUACUAUGUAUUCAUAUACCACAUAGUAUGUUGUCGAAUGUGAUCAAUGGGCCUAUGUGCCUAUAAAAAUCAUAUACAACUUUCAGCAACGGAUCUCUUGGCUCUCGCAUCGAUGAAGAACGCAGCGAAAUGCGAUAAGUAAUGUGAAUUGCAGAAUUCAGUGAAUCAUCGAAUCUUUGAACGCACCUUGCGCUCCUUGGUAUUCCGAGGAGCAUGCCUGUUUGAGUGUCAUUAAAUUCUCAACCCCUCCAGCUUUUGCGAGUUGUGAUGGGGCUUGGAUAUGGGAGUUUGCGGGUCUUUAUCAAUAAAGGUCAGCUCUCCUGAAAUGCAUUAGCGGAACCGUUUGCAGUCCCGUCACUAGUGUGAUAAUUAUCUACACUGUGAUGAUUGCUCUCUGACUAGUUCAGCUGCUAAUCGUCCACUAUGGACAAUACUUAAUGAACUUCUUGACCUCAAAUCAGGUAGGACUACCCGCUGAACUUAAGCAUAUCAAUAAGCGGAGGAA